rnacentral:rRNA from 1 species
GAUCAUGGCUCAGGAUGAACGCUAGCGGCAGGCUUAACACAUGCAAGUCGAGGGGCAGCAUAAUGGAUAGCAAUAUCUAUGGUGGCGACCGGCGCACGGGUGCGUAACGCGUAUGCAACCUACUUUUAACAGGGGGAUAACACUGAGAAAUUGGUACUAAUACCCCAUAAUAUCAUAGAAGGCAUCUUUUAUGGUUGAAAAUUCCGAUGGGUUAGAGAUGGGGCAUGCGUUGUA